AGAGUUUGAUCAUGGCUCAGGACGAACGCUGGCGGCGCGCCUAACACAUGCAAGUCGAACGAGAGAGAAGGAGCUUGCUUCUUCGAUCGAGUGGCGAACGGGUGAGUAACGCGUGAGGAACCUGCCUCAAAGAGGGGGACAACAGUUGGAAACGACUGCUAAUACCGCAUAAGCCCACGGGUCGGCAUCGACCUGAGGGAAAAGGAGCAAUCCGCUUUGAGAUGGCCUCGCGUCCGAUUAGCUGGUUGGUGAGGUAACGGCCCACCAAGGCGACGAUCGGUAGCCGGACUGAGAGGUUGAACGGCCCACAUUGGGACUGAGACACGGCCCAGACUCCUACGGGAGGCAGCA
rnacentral:rRNA from 1 species